rnacentral:rRNA from 1 species
UGCAAGUCGAGCGGUAACAGACAUAAUUGAUCUUGCUUGCAAGGUCAUGGUGCUGACGAGCGGCGAACGGGUGAGUAACACGUAGGAAUAUACCCAGUAGCGGGGGAUAGCUCGAGGAAACUCGAAUUAAUACCGCAUACGACCUUAGGGUGAAAGAAGGCCUCUUCUUGAAAGCUUUCACUAUUGGAUUAGCCUGCGUAAGAUUAGCUUGUUGGUGGGGUAAAGGCCUACCAAGGCAACUAUCUUUAGCUGGUCUGAGAGGACGAUCAGCCACAUUGGGACUGAGACACGGCCCAGACUCCUACGGGAGGCAGCAGUAGGGAAUAUUGGACAAUGGGGGCAACCCUGAUCCAGCUAUACCGCGUGUGUGAAGAAGGCUCUAGGGUCGUAAAGCACUUUAAGCAAGGAAGAAGAAUUAAAGAUUAAUACUCUUUAAUUUUGACAUUAUUUGCAGAAUAAGGACCGGCUAACUCCGUGCCAGCAGCCGCGGUAAUACGGAGGGUCCAAGCGUUAAUCGGAAUUACUGGGCGUAAAGCGCGCGUAGGCGGUUUAGAAAGUUGGAUGUGAAAUCCCCGGGCUCAACCUGGGAACUGCGUUCAAAACUACUAAGCUAGAGUGGGAGAGAGGGAAGUAGAAUUUCUGGUGUAGCGGUGAAAUGCGUAGAUAUCAGAAGGAAUACCAAUGGCGAAGGCAGCUUCCUGGCUCCAAACUGACGCUAAGGUGCGAAAGCGUGGGUAGCAAACAGGAUUAGAUACCCUGGUAGUCCACGCCGUAAACGAUGACAACUAGCCGUUGGACAGAAUUAACUGUUCAGUGGCGCAGCUAACGCAUUAAGUUGUCCGCCUGGGGAGUACGGCCGCAAGGCUAAAACUCAAAUGAAUUGACGGGGGCCCGCACAAGCGGUGGAGCAUGUGGUUUAAUUCGAUGCAACGCGAAAA